GAUCAUGGCUCAGGAUGAACGCUAGCUACAGGCUUAACACAUGCAAGUCGAGGGGCAGCGGGAUUGAAGCUUGCUUCAAUUGCCGGCGACCGGCGCACGGGUGAGUAACGCGUAUCCAACCUUCCGUACACUCAGGGAUAGCCUUUCGAAAGAAAGAUUAAUACCUGAUGGUAUCUUAAGCACACAUGUAAUUAAGAUUAAAGAAUUUAUCGGUGUACGAUGGGGAGUGCGUUCCAUUAGGUAGG
rnacentral:rRNA from 1 species